rnacentral:rRNA from 1 species
UACGGAGGGUGCAAGCGUUAAUCGGAAUUACUGGGCGUAAAGCGCGCGUAGGCGGUUACAUAAGUUGGAGGUGAAAUCCCCGGGCUCAACCUGGGAACUGCUUUCAAAACUGUGUGACUAGAGUGCAGCAGAGGAUAGUGGAAUUUCUAGUGUAGCGGUGAAAUGCGUAGAGAUCUGGAGGAAUACCGGUGGCGAAGGCGGCCCCCUGGACAAAGACUGACGCUCAGGUGCGAAAGCGUGGGGAGCAAACAGG